rnacentral:lncRNA from 10 species
GUGCGAGGAGGAAGGGGUACGAUUCCCCACUUCAGACAAGCAGCAGCCACAGACCAGCCCCUGCGCUACUACAGGAUUUCUUCAAGAUACAAGAGGUCCCCUUCGUCUCACUCUGGUGACUCCACUGUGGCUGCAUAUUCUGGGGCAGAGUACAUCAAUUGUUUCCGAAGGUGCAUGCUGGCUCCACAGAAAUGGCAUUCCGCUUUGUUGCCCAGGCUGGUCUCAAACUCCUGACUUCAGAGGAUCCUCCUGUCUCAGCCUCCCAAAGUGCUAGGGUUCCAGGCAUGAGCCACUGCGCCCUGCCCGGAGCCUUAUGUUAACAUGUCUAUUACAGGACCUGACAUGAAGAAGAGACUUAAUAAAAGGUGAUUGUCCUUCCCUUUUCUAUGAAGCAGGAAGGGGAGCUAUUAUUAUCUUCAUUGU